UACGGGGGGAGCAAGCGUUGUUCGGAUUUACUGGGCGUAAAGGGCGCGUAGGCGGCACCGCAAGUCGACUGUGAAAUCUCCGGGCUUAACCCGGAAAGGUCAGCCGAUACUGCGGGGCUAGAGUGCAGAAGGGGCAACUGGAAUUCUCGGUGUAGCGGUGAAAUGCGUAGAUAUCGAGAGGAACACCUGCGGCGAAGGCGGGUUGCUGGGCUGACACUGACGCUGAUGCGCGAAAGCUAGGGGAACGAACGGG
rnacentral:rRNA from 1 species